rnacentral:rRNA from 1 species
AGUGAACGCUGGCGGUAGGCCUAACACAUGCAAGUCGAACGGAAGCACAGGAGAGCUUGCUCUCUGGGUGGCGAGCGGCGGACGGGUGAGGAAUACAUCGGAAUCUACUUUUUCGUGGGGGAUAACGUAGGGAAACUUACGCUAAUACCGCAUACGACCUACGGGUGAAAGCAGGGGAUCUUCGGACCUUGCGCGAUUGAAUGAGCCGAUGUCGGAUUAGCUAGUUGGCGGGGUAAAGGCCCACCAAGGCGACGAUCCGUAGCUGGUCUGAGAGGAUGAUCAGCCACACUGGAGCUGAGACACGGUCCAGACUCCUACGGGAGGCAGCAGUGGGGAAUAUUGGACAAUGGGCGCAAGCCUGAUCCAGCCAUACCGCGUGGGUGAAGAAGGCCUUCGGGUUGUAAAGCCCUUUUGUUGGGAAAGAAAUCCAGCUGGCUAAUACCCGGUUGGGAUGACGGUACCCAAAGAAUAAGCACCGGCUAACUUCGUGCCAGCCGCCGCCGUAA